rnacentral:rRNA from 1 species
UACGUAGGUGGCAAGCGUUGUCCGGAUUUUACUGGGCGUAAAGAGCGCGCAGGCGGUCGGGAUUUAGUCGCGUGUGAAAGCCCCCGGCUCAACUGGGGAGGGUCACGCGAUACUGUUCGACUUCGAAGGCAGGAGAGGGGAAGUGGAAUUCCCGGUGUAGUGGUGAAAUGCGUAGAUAUCCGGAGGAACACCGGUGGCGAAGGC